CCAGGGCCAGGGACAGCCACCUGUUUCAGCUGUGGGUGGGGCCUGUGCAGUUACAGCGGUUUUUAAUGUGGUGACCCUUGGGAGCAGAUCUGUUCUUGUGAACAGGUUAGAGGGGUGCUAAGGGCAUGUCCUUUGCGGAGGAGAUGGCCUGGGACAGCCCUGACAUCAGCCAUUCACACAGAUAAUGUUAUUAACUGAAUGCUCUCAGUUUUACAUUUUUUUAACCUAUACUCUUUCCCUUUGAAAAAUAUUAUGGGAUGAAUGUACAGCAGAAUGUGCCCCAGUUUGUGUCUUUCUAAGUAUUUGCAAACAAAAUUCAUGAAACCGAAAGAAUCUUCAUAUCAAGAUGGAGCCGCCACUACCACAACACCUGAGGAGGCUCUCCAUGUAAAUUCAGGUGUAGGUCCCUCAGAGCAGGAUCCAUCACGCCUUCAUGUUUGAGUCCGUGCGGCUGAGAAACAAGUAGCAGAGAGUUCUGAUUACCUGUGAGACUUUCAGCUUUUGGUCCCUUCCAUUUUGAUUUGUGUGGAAAGACAAGCUACACAGACAGACCUCUCUCCUCUGCAUGAUGGGUCUUGCUCAGCACUUCCUACAGAAUUCCUGCUGUUUCCACAAGUAAGAAGGUUUGCAAAGAGCUGAGCUGUUUCACAACAUUGCUUCUCAGGACCUUCACAGCAGAGGAGCUCUUAGUGAUGACUGUCUGAUGAAGAACGAUGACUGCAGCCCCAGGGACUUCCAUGCAUUUCUAGUUUCCUGCUGGACCUGGCACAGGGUCGGGACCUGGAACCAGGUAUUUUCUCCAGAACAACCACAUGUUCUAUCUGCCUGAGUGCUGACCUCUACACACACCAGCAGCUUCAGUGGUGAGUUUUCCCCCUUCCAGCCUCCAACCACAGCCUUCAUGGCUAUGGUUGAGCCCUUCACUGCUUUCUAUAGCUAAAAACAUGACCAGAUGGCCUCGGGGUCAGUCCUCCCAUGCUAGCACUGCACACGCUGUGUGGUGCAUUCUUGAGAGACCGCUCAGAGUGGCCUCUAGCCUCUCUGGCUUCCGAGUCACCCAGACUGGAGUCAGUCAGGUUUUAACACCCUGCCUGUAGAUAGAGGGCGCUCUUCUACAAACCCUGCAGUAUUCGCCACCUUUUCAUACCCCACCUAUAGAGGAGAGACAUUCCCCCCCCAUAAACCUUGUGGUGUCACCGUUUUCACAGAUCUCAUGUUUUCGGCUAUGGUAUAAACCCUCACUCCAUCAGUGUCCUGCCGGCUCCACUGGCUCCACUUUUCCUCAAACUGUCCCUGCUACCGCUACUGCUGUCAACAAAAUUGGUUGGAUCUACAAGGCAGCUGUUUUCAAUUCUAGCCAUUUGCUUCCUGCCAUGGCUUGCGGUAUGGCGGCUCAGCAACAGGGCAGAUCACACCUCUAGGUCUCUUUUCUAUACAACGUGUAACUUCUGCCAUUUUGACUGAGGUCAGGUGACCUUACCACCAUCUUAACUGAGAGCCAGGUCA